UUUGACUGCUCAGCGUACUGCAGACUGCAGACAUUGCUCUGAGAGAUCUGUUGCAUACCUCCAGAAUACGUGGUAACGUCACCGCUGCUUUGAUGAGCUGCAGAGUGCUGAAAGCCCCCACGUCUGCCUGAAGAGGAGCCCACAGCAUCACUGAAUGCACAGCCCUGCAUGGCAGCACUGCAAUUACGCAGCUCCCAGCAAUUACCUGCUUACUGAUUAGCAAGGAAAAGAAGCUGAACACCAUCAGAUGGUAUCACUGCUGAGUUAUUGAGUUGUUAUUGGCCACGUCCUGAAGCUCUGACUGCCCUUCCUCGAUCAAAACUCCUCAUUUACCUGAAUAAAGCUGAAGAAUUUUGCCCUAUAGUAUUUCAGGCAAUAGUGUGUAAUCUCAGGACCUUUACAAGUGCUAUUUAUAAUCCCAAAACAUAUUGUUUUAUGCUUGUUGAGUCUUAAACAACUGUUCUUCCUGCAAGGAUAAAAAUGAAGGCAAGCAAUGGCUUCCACAUGUAAGUCGGGUCACCCCAAAGUGCAACAGGCAGGAUUUCAGAAGGUCUGGUUUAGAAGUUACGGCAGAUGAAGGAAGGAAGGCUCUUGGAAGCUGACUGGUUUUGUGUGUGCUACAGUAAAUUAUGUAUGAAAUAAGGUCACGGGUGCAUUAUCUUUGUGCCAUACGUUAGGCAUGAAAUGAAAUGAAGCUGACGAGCACUUCUCUGUGUGUCUUCUGUUAAUAUCACAAACCUAAUUCAGGUGCAAGGAGACUCUUAGUGCAGAGCGUGCCAUUGACAGAAAGGUACCAUGAAGCUGCAGGGAGGACAAUGUAAGUGAUCUUCAUUAUUAUUAUUAUUUAUUCCAUCCCUUCUCUUUUCUCCAUUAAGCAUUUCAUUUGGAAAUUCACCGGGGAAAAGAAAUGGGAGGAAAUGCGCUCUGCUUUCCCAUCUGAAUAUCCUAAAGUCACAUAUGUUAUAAUAUAUUUGCAUUUUUAAGUAAAUACCCCUCACAAAAACAAAUAAGAAAUGAUUAUUUAUGUCUUACGAAGCUGUGUUACCCCGCAGUGCUGUCCAAAGGUCAACCAUUGCCUCUAACUUUGCUGUGCAAACCAUGACCUGGAAGUACCAUCGAUAAUGACCCCAUGGCUGCGAGUCUUGAAGACUUAAUCAUCUGACAUACACGGAGGCCUGGGGCGCCCGCACUUGGCAUUUGCCUUAUUGAAAUGUACACAGACAAUAUGCAUUUUAAACAAUUCAAAACGGCGUGCCUAAAAUAGUCGUCGGGCCACAGAGCCCUCUCUGAAGCAGGCUGCUGGCUGUUCCAGCUCUCUCGCUUUGAUGAGCAACUCAGCUCACGAAACAAUCUGAUGCAUCUGGAGCUAGAAACUAGCUGCAUUUAUUAUUGGCAUUUGCUCCAUAUUGCAAGGGAAAGUUAUCAUCCGCGUCAUCUGGAACUUAAUUACUAUCUGCCACCAGCCAAAUUUGAUUGUAAGCCUCUUUGAGAGAGAGCUGAUAAAGCACCACAGCAUAAAGGAGGGGGGAAGGAAUGCUGCCCUGCAGAAGGAGCUCAGGCUCAGGGGUCUGCUGCACAGCUGCAGGCCUUAGGAUGGCCCCAAACCCUGCUUACUGUGGGGCAGAGAUGGAAAGUCCCUUGGACACGAAAGCCAAAGCGAACGCCGCUGAUCAGGGUUGUGAGGCACACAGUAGGACGACGGCUAAGAGGAGCACAGCGCUGCAUGUUGUGCUGCAGCCCUGCGUGGCUCACCUGCCUGCACUGCACAUUGCUGGGAGCCAGGAGCAGCAGCCCGUGCACUUGCCAUGUCUUCUGUUUUAAUAAAGCACACAUUAGUUUCGUUCAGCAGCUCCAGCCCCUGGCUAUCCGGUGCGCUGUAUAUUAGUUUUAACUACACAUUGCUUGCAAUAACGCUGGGGCAGGGAGCUGUGCCUCGAGUUAAGAAAUGGUUAGGAUUGCUUUACAUUCGCAGCCUCAUUGAAAACAUUUAUUCAAUCAAAGG
ensembl:lncRNA